rnacentral:rRNA from 1 species
AUUGAACGCUGGCGGCAGGCCUAACACAUGCAAGUCGAGCGAGCGGCGGACGGGUGAGUAAUGUAUGGGAAACUGCCCGAUGGAGGGGGAUCACUACUGGAAACGGUAGCUAAUACCGCAUACUAUCAGAUGUGCCCAGAUGGGAUUAGCUAGUAGGUGGGGGAAUGGCUCCCCUAGGCGACGAUCCCUAGCUGGUCUGAGAGGAUGACCAGCCACACUGGAACUGAGACACGGUCCAGACUCCUACGGGAGGCAGCAGUGGGGAAUAUUGCACAAUGGGCGCAAGCCUGAUGCAGCCAUGCCGCGUGUAUGAAGAAGGCCUUAGGGUUGUAAAGUACUUUCAGCGAGGAGGCGUGACUCGCAGAAGAAGCACCGGCUAACUCCGUGCCAGCAGCCGCGGUAAUAC